rnacentral:lncRNA from 1 species
GGGCAAGGUGCCAGCGGGUUUUGUAAGCACCUGAGAACAGCGAUGACAAGUAGUGCCUGAGUCACAGAGGCACAGGUGGCUUUGACAGUGGUCAGAAAGAACCCACACUCGCUGCUCGAGAUGGAGAAGAGCAAGACGGAUGGUCACCAGGCUGUGCUCAAUGAAGGAGAGGAGAAUGAGCUGGAGGUGUUUGGCUACCAGACUCAGAAUUUACGAAGAGCCUUGUGCCUCGUCACAGCCAUCCUGACUCUUGGGGCAGUUCAGCUCAUGUUCUACUGGAGGCCUGAGUGGUGG